UACGUAGGCAGCAAGCGUUGUUCGGAGUUACUGGGCGUAAAGGGUGUGUAGGCGGCUUUCUAAGUUUGGUGUGAAAUCUCCCGGCUCAACUGGGAGGGUGCGCCGAAGACUGGGAGGCUAGAGUAUGGGAUGGGAGAGUGGAAUUCCUGGUGUAGCGGUGAAAUGCGUAGAUAUCAGGAGGAACACCGAUGGCGAAGGCAGGUCUCUGGGCCGAUACUGACGCUGAGGAGCGAAAGCGUGGGGAGUGAACAGG
rnacentral:rRNA from 1 species